rnacentral:lncRNA from 1 species
ACCAGUCCAACUCUCCUCUCCUUCCAAGCUUAUUGAGACCAAAUUCAACUUUUUCUACUUGCGGAUGUAACAUUAUAUCUCCUACUCUCCUUUGUUCAACGGCUUCUUUUCUGGCUCUUAGGUUAAAAGCUAAUAGAGUUCCUCAAAAUGAAUCUAAUUAGUUGUUGUGCUUGGAAAAUGAAAGCAGUUUGGAGAAAAAGCUCAUAAGGUAUAUUAAUAUCUUCAAGUCCAUGAAUACAAUCGUGAAUUACGAAAGCUUACACUAUGCAUUGACUUGGCCAAGUUCAAUGUAUGCUAAAAAGACUCAUUGCCA